UUACAAACUAGAUACCCUAAGGAACAUUCAGUUAAAGUUUGGAAGUAUUUGGCCCAGUAGUUUCAGAGGAGAAGAUUUUUGUAAAAGAUUACUAAGAUUUACGAAAAAUGGUUAAAAAUUGACUAUAAAGGGCUAUAACUCCUAAAGGGGUCAACUGACCAUUUCCGUCAUGUUGACUUAUUUGUAAAUCUUACUUUGCUGAACAUUAUUGCUGUUUACAGUUUAUCUCUAUCUAUAAUAAUAUUCAAGAUAAUAACCAAAAACAGCAAAAUUUCUUUAAAAUUACCAAUUCAGGGGCAGUAACCCAACAACAGGUUGUCUGAUUCAUCUGAAAAUUUCAGGGCAGAUAGAUCUUGACCUGAUAAACAAUAUUAUCCCAUGUCAGAUUUGCUCUAAAUGCUUUGGUUUUUGAGUUAUAAGCCUAAAACUGCAUUUGACCCCUAUGUUAUAUUUUUAGCAAUGGCG
rnacentral:lncRNA from 1 species